GGGGGAGUGGCAGACGGGUGAGUAACGCGUGGGAACGUACCUUUCACUACGGAAUAGCUCUUGGAAACGAGUGGUAAUACCGUAUACGCCCUUCGGGGGAAAGAUUUAUCGGUGAAAGAUCGGCCCGCGUUAGAUUAGCUAGUUGGUAGGGUAAUGGCCUACCAAGGCGACGAUCUAUAGCUGGUCUGAGAGGAUGAUCA
rnacentral:rRNA from 1 species